CUGUCCCUUUUGGAAUAAACCAAAGCAACAUGUACUCAUGCAUACAAGCUAUUAAAACCGAGCCGCAGUUUGCCACUGGAACCAUGGUGGCGGCGGUCAUCCCCUUGUACUUCUUUGGAACGGCGCUGAGCGUCCUCGCAGUCCUCUACGGGAUUGUGGACUCCUUUGGGGGGCUGAUGUACGUCCAGGACUGUCCCCACGUCAUGGACUUUGACUGGCAGACGCAGUGGCAGCUCUCCCCGGGCCGCCAACGGAGAGCAUCUCCUCCGGCCAAGAACGUCGGCUCGUGAGGGGACGCGUCUCGUGUUUUAUUUUGCUGCUGGCUGGACCAUGUGGCCAACGGAUGGAUAUUCAGGACAUCUGACUCUCGUCUGCGCUGAACGGAUUGUUUGAACCAUGUCCACGGGUUCCAGAGAGCUCCCACGUCUGCGCGCGGUGCCUUCAAACGCGGCUCGCGGGCAAACUUGACGCCAGAAAUGUUGCAGCACUACUGAAUCAUUUGCACUAACAAUCGGAAUGUUUUGUCUUUUUCAAUAUUACCGGAUUAAAAUGAUUUGGUUUAAAGGUGUAACAGUGAGUAAAAAAACUGCACCCUCCACAAAUAUUUACUCCGGAUGUUAUACGGUUGUAAGUCGGGUUGAAAAGUAUGUAGUGAAAGACUGAAAGCAAUUUGGAACUAAAGGAAUCUCACGUUGUCGCUAUGAAUACUUAUCAGUCCUCACCCUCUAAGCACAGGAGACAAAACAAGCUCGGCCUCCGAUCUGCCGUGUAGGAAAGAAGAAGUUUAAUCAGUGAUCGUUCCCUUUUCUGGUUGCGCAACAGGAAAGGGAUUAUGUUCACGAGGAUCAUUGUCCCUGUGGUCCGUCAACAAAGGCGCGGGGAAUUCUCCCUGAUGUUUACCCGCUUUCAGGUUAGCGUUUUACUUCCUGUGUGGAUCAGUGUCAUUGGGUCCAGGUUUUAAUGGUCAAAGGUCAAUCUGAGUUCCCACAAUGGAUUUUUGGGCAAGUGUACAUAAGUGAUGACAAUUUCCUACAAUUGUUUUAUUGGAAAACAUUAAAAUGGUUGAGACAUGCAAACCGGUAAUUCUUCCGUCAUGACUUGAUGAGCGGUAAAAGUGAGAGUAUUCCUCGGUGAGAGCCGUUUAGCACAUGUUGAAACGAAUAUCCAGCACACGAUGUGGAAGCUGAACAAUGUGAAUCACGAUUAUCUGUCGCUGAGUCAGUCGGCCCUCAGCCGCGGGACUCCGCAGGCCGACAGCUCGUCAAAAUGAGUGCAAACCCACAUAAACAAACUGAACUACUGAACUCAAGGGUCCCAGGCACGUAAGAUAAGGAAAUACAAAAUGAUGAAAUUACACCUAAAAUAACACACCGUGCUCGUUACUAGAAAAAUGAAAUACCGUCUCAAGCAAAGGGACGUAGUCAUGGUCAGGGUGGAUUAAUAAAAGGUGGAUUAAUCAAUGCGGCUGCUGCUUCGGCUUUGAGCGGUGAAACAAAUCACCUCAUUAGACCGGAAUGGAGGAAACGGC
ensembl:lncRNA